rnacentral:rRNA from 1 species
AUCUACGGCCAUGCUACCCUGAACAAGCCCGAUCCCAUCUGAUCUCGGAAGCUAAGCAGGGUCGGGCCUGGUUAGUACUUGGAUGGGAGACCACCUAGGAAUUACAGGUGCUGUAGGUG